rnacentral:rRNA from 1 species
GAUGAACGCUGGCGGCGUGCUUAACACAUGCAAGUCGAACGAAGCACUUAAGAAUGAUUCUUCGGAUGAAUUUUUUUGUGACUUAGUGGCGGACGGGUGAGUAACGCGUGGGUAACCUGCCUCACACAGGGGGAUAACAGUUGGAAACGACCGCUAAUACCGCAUAACCCGCUAGGGCCGCAUGGCCCGGACGGAAAAGAUUUAUCGGUGUGAGAUGGACCCGCGUUGGAUUAGCUAGUUGGCAGGGUAACGGCCUACCAAGGCGACGAUCCAUAGCCGGCCUGAGAGGGUGAACGGCCACAUUGGGACUGAGACACGGCCCAAACUCCUACGGGAGGCAGCAGUGGGGAAUAUUGCACAAUGGGGGAAACCCUGAUGCAGCGACGCCGCGUGAGUGAAGAAGUAUUUCGGUAUGUAAAGCUCUAUCAGCAGG